GGGAGAAGAAGGAAAUUGGAGAAAGGGGGAGAAUAAGGAAAUUGGAGGGAGGGAGGGGGAGAAGAAGGAAAUUGGAGGGGGGAGAAGGAGAAGGAAAUUUCUUUCCUCCCCCCCUCCCUCCAAUUUCCUUCCUCCCCCUCCCUCCCAUUUCCUUCCUCCCUCCCUUUCCCCCCU
rnacentral:snoRNA from 1 species